GUGUCAGCAGCCGCGGUAAUACGGAGGGUGCGAGCGUUGUCCGGAAUCAUUGGGUGUAAAGGGUGCGUAGGCGGGUUGCUAAGUCUGGGGUGAAAUCCUGCCGCUUAACGGUAGAAUGGCCCCCGAUACUGGCAGUCUUGAGUACAGAAGAGGUCGGUGGAAUUCGUAGUGUAGCGGUGAAAUGCAUAGAUAUUACGAAGAACACCAGUGGCGAAGGCGGCCGGCUGGUCUGUAACUGACGCUGAGGCACGAAAGCGUGGGGAGCGAACAGGAUUAGAUACCCUGGUAGUCCACGCUGUAAACGAUGUAUGCUAGGUGUCGGCCUUUCGGGGUCGGUGCUGCAGUUAACGCAGUAAGCAUACCACCUGGGGAGUACGUCGGCAACGAUGAAACUUAAAUGAAUUGACGGGG
rnacentral:rRNA from 1 species